rnacentral:rRNA from 1 species
CCUACGGGAGGCAGCAGUGGGGAAUAUUGCACAAUGGGGGAAACCCUGAUGCAGCGACGCCGCGUGAGUGAAGAAGUAAUUCGUUACGUAAAGCUCUAUCAGCAGGGAAGAAACACUGACCUUACGGUCAGCAGACGGUACCUGAGUAAGAAGCCCCGGCUAACUACGUGCCAGCAGCCGCGGUAAUACGGAGGGGGCAUGCGUUAUCCGGAUUUACUGGGUGUAAAGGGAGCGUAGACGGUGCGCCAGGUCUGGGUGGAAAUGCCGCGGCUUAACUUCGGAACUGGUUGGGAAACUGGCGAACUAGAGGGCGGGAGGGGUAAGCGGAAUUCCUAGUGUAGCGGUGAAAUGCGUAGAUAUUAGGAGGAACACCGAUGGCGAAGGCGGCUUACUGGGCCGUAACUGACGUUGAGGCACGAAAGCGUAGGGAGCAAACAGGAUUAGAUACCCGAGUAGUC